rnacentral:rRNA from 1 species
GACGAACGCUGGCGGCGUGCUUAACACAUGCAAGUCGAACGGAAAGGCCCUGCUUUUGUGGGGUGCUCGAGUGGCGAACGGGUGAGUAACACGUGAGUAACCUGCCCUUGACUUUGGGAUAACUUCAGGAAACUGGGGCUAAUACCGGAUAGGAGCUCCUGCUGCAUGGUGGGGGUUGGAAAGUUUCGGCGGUUGGGGAUGGACUCGCGGCUUAUCAGCUUGUUGGUGGGGUAGUGGCUUACCAAGGCUUUGACGGGUAGCCGGCCUGAGAGGGUGACCGGCCACAUUGGGACUGAGAGACGGCCCAGACUCCUACGGGAGGCAGCAGUGGGGAAUAUUGCACAAUGGGCGGAAGCCUGAUGCAGCAACGCCGCGUGCGGGAUGACGGCCUUCGGGUUGUAAACCGCUUUCGCCUGCGACGAAGCGUGAGUGACGGUAAUGGGUAAAGAAGCACCGGCUAACUACGUG